UAAGAUUAAAUUUAAAAUAAGUUCUGCCCAAUGAUUAAAUUUAAUGGCUGCAGUAUAUUGACUGUACAAAGGUAGCAUAAUAAAUUGUUUCUUAAUUAGGGACUAGAAUGAAUGAAUUUAUAAAAUAACUCUGUUUCUUAUUUGUUGUUAUAAAUUUAUAUAAUAGUAAAAAAGCUAUCAUUAUAUAAAAAGACAAAAAGACCCUUAAAGUUUAAAUUAGAUUGAUUAAUUAAAAUCAUAAUUUUUAGCUGGGGUGGCUAUUGGAAAUAUAAAACUUCUAUUUUAGUGUAAUAAUUGGAUUAAUAAUAAAAAAAAAUUACUUAAGGGAUAACAGAUUAAUCUUUUUGAAGAGCCCAUAUUGAUAAGAAAGUUUAAUACCUCGAUGUUGGCUUAAAAUUUCCUAUAAAUGUAAAAGUUUAAAAGGUUGGAUUGUUCAUCCAUUAAAAUUUUACGUGAUCU
rnacentral:rRNA from 1 species